rnacentral:rRNA from 1 species
UGCGCCUACGGGAGGCAGCAGUAGGGAAUUUUCGUCAAUGGGCGCAAGCCUGAACGAGCAAUGCCGCGUGAACGAGGAAGGUCUUCGGAUCGUAAAGUUCUGUUGAAGGGGAAAAAGAGCGGAGAGAGGAAAUGGUCUCCGAUUGAUAUUACCCUUCGAGGAAGUCACGGCUAACUACGUGCCAGCAGCCGCGUAAAUACGUAGGUGGCGAUCGUUGUCCGUAAUGAUUGGUCGUAAAG